rnacentral:lncRNA from 1 species
GGACCUACGUCUAAAAUGUUAUAGACGUCGGCACCCCAGGACAACCGUCGUCUACUUCCCUGAUCGAAAUUGAAAAGUCAUCUCGAUCAGUGUCGUAAACGUCGGCGUCCCUUGUGUCUGACGUCUAAGGUGUAUGCAAAAAGCAGAUUAAAAGUUAUCUUGAACGUCAUAUUAGUGAGAUAACCAACGUCUAGCUGACUAUAGACAUCGGUUUCUGUAGCAACCGACGCCUCAAUUCAUGUUAAAUAAACCGCAGACUCGCAGUUUCGCAAACAUCAUCGUCUUCCUCCUCUCCUUUUUCUCUCUUGCGGCAUUGCAUUCCAGGUGCGUCUUUU